GAUCAUGGCCCAGGAUGAACGCUGGCGGCAUGCCUAAUACAUGCAAGUCGAACGAAGUCUUUAGGAAGCUUGCUUCCAAAGAGACUUAGUGGCGAACGGGUGAGUAACACGUAGGUAACCUGCCCAUGUGCCCGGGAUAACUGCUGGAAACGGUAGCUAAAACCGGAUAGGUAUGAGGAAGGCAUCUUCCUCAUAUUAAAGCACCUUCGGGUGUGAACAUGGAUGGACCUGCGGCGCAUUAG
rnacentral:rRNA from 1 species